rnacentral:rRNA from 1 species
UACCGAGUUAUCAACUCCCAAACCCCUGUGAACAUACCUAUCGUUGCCUCGGCGGGAUCGCCCCGGCGCCCUCGGGCCCGGACCCAGGCGCCCGCCGGAGGACCCAAACUCUUGUCUCUUUUGAGUAUCUUCUGAGUGACACAAGCAAAUAAAUCAAAACUUUCAACAACGGAUCUCUUGGUUCUGGCAUCGAUGAAGAACGCAGCGAAAUGCGAUAAGUAAUGUGAAUUGCAGAAUUCAGUGAAUCAUCGAAUCUUUGAACGCACAUUGCGCCCGCCAGUAUUCUGGCGGGCAUGCCUGUUCGAGCGUCAUUUCAACCCUCAAGCCCCCGGGCUUGGUGUUGGGGAUCGGCCCGCCCCGCGGCGCCGGCCCCGAAAUCUAGUGGCGGUCUCGCUGUAGCUUCCUCUGCGUAGUAGCAUACACCUCGCAGCCUGGAACGCGGCGCGGCCCUGCCGUUAAACCCCCAACUUUUAUGAUGUUGACCUCGGAUCAGGUAGGAAUACCCGCUGAACUUAAGCAUAUCAAUAAGCGGAGGAAAAGAAACCAACAGGGAUUGCCCUAGUAACGGCGAGUGAAGCGGCAACAGCUCAAAUUUGAAAUCUGGCCCUCGGGUCCGAGUUGUAAUUUGUAGAGGAUGCUUUUGGUGCGGUACCUUCCGAGUUCCCUGGAACGGGACGCCAUAGAGGGUGAGAGCCCCGUCUGGUUGGAUACCAAUCCUCUGUAAAGCUCCUUCGACGAGUCGAGUAGUUUGGGAAUGCUGCUCUAAAUGGGAGGUAUAUGUCUUCUAAAGCUAAAUACC